ACGCUCGACACCUACGGGAGGCAGCAGUGGGGAAUAUUGCACAAUGGGGGAAACCCUGAUGCAGCAACGCCGCGUGAAGGAAGAAGUAUUUCGGUAUGUAAACUUCUAUCAGCAGGGAAGAAAAAGAUGACGGUACCUGACUAAGAAGAACCGGCUAAAUACGUGCCAACAGCCGCGGUAAUCUGAGCGGGCUGGCAAGGC
rnacentral:rRNA from 1 species